GACGAACGCUGGCGGCGUGCUUAACACAUGCAAGUCGAACGGAAAGGCCCUGCUUUUGUGGGGUGCUCGAGUGGCGAACGGGUGAGUAACACGUGAGUAACCUGCCCUUGACUUUGGGAUAACUUCAGGAAACUGGGGCUAAUACCGGAUAGGAGCUCCUGCUGCAUGGCGGGGGUUGGAAAGUUUCGGCGGUUGGGGAUGGACUCGCGGCUUAUCAGCUUGUUGGUGGGGUAGUGGCUUACCAAGGCUUUGACGGGUAGCCGGCCUGAGAGGGUGACCGGCCACAUUGGGACUGAAAUACGGCCCAGACUCCUACGGGAGGCAGCAGUGGGGAAUAUUGCACAAUGGGCGGAAGCCUGAUGCAGCAACGCCGCGUGCGGGAUGACGGCCUUCGGGUUGUAAACCGCUUUCGCCUGUGACGAAGCGUGAGUGACGGUAAUGGGUAAAGAAGCACCGGCUAACUACGUG
rnacentral:rRNA from 1 species